UUCCAAUUUUCACCAUUCUAUAAUUUGACAGCUCCCAGUGCAGCUAAACCUACAAAAACUUCAACAGAUGCUAAGAAGCCCUUCUCAAUAACCAUGAUCACAGACCAUCUUGGUAAUUAAUCACAGACAUCUGCAGGCAAGUCUAUACUGAAUUGUUUUCAUAAAAGUGUCACCACUACUCAAUCCUUGAAAUUAGGGAACUCUUUUUCCAAAGUAUGAAAUUAUUAUUUUCAAGGAGAAGAUUCCAGAACUCCUAGUCCAUGAGCAUCUUUCAUCUUUUCUUUAAGGUCUCUACACCAGUCACUGAUCAAGCCAGUGUUUAAUUGGUGAUGCUAGAGAAAGGCUGCAGUUUCCAUUUUUAAAGGACUGAGGCUUUUUAGCUGCCAGAGCUGAUCUGUAAUCCGGGAUAAUGAAUCUCAUCUAAUCGGUGUCAGUCUGCACUCCUCUACAUAAUGAACUCAGCACAGUGGUGUAUUAGAUGUUUGGAAAUAAAUUACUUUCGUGUUCUCCCCAUCAUACUGAAACUUCAAGCACAGCAUAUUCCAAUGACAUACCUGAAGGCUGUCAUUUUCAAACUCCACUGGAAUGUAAAACAGAAUUGCAGUUAGGCAGUAUUUAAGCCAUAGUCUGUAUAGGAUUUACAUAUUCACAUUUUUAAAAGAUGUUUUUAAAAAGGUUCUGUGUGUACCUUCAGAGAGUGACUUAAAACAUGCAAUCAAUUAUGUCCAUGUGCUGGUUCAUGCUCUUGUAAGCCCUAAGUGGGUGACAGCCAUGCAGAUCAGCUGUCCAUGCCAGCAAGUGGCUGCUCUGUGCCUGCACAGCAGAGGUCCCCUGCAGGCACAGCUCCAGCAUCCACAUCAGCCACAUCCUGGGAAAAGAGCUGUGGUGCACCAGCAAGGAGAGGGUUUGGACAUGGAACUUCAAAAGUCUUCUGUUGUCAGACAGAUAACAGAGAGCAAUUGGCAGUUUUGGAACAUGGUUCAUUCUGUCCUAAGGGCAUUUUGAAUAAGUCGGAUAUAACAUGAUCUGGAAGAGUUUUAACUCUGAGCACUGACAAAGCUUUAUAUAGGUACCUAUAAAGUUAUCCCACAAGUGUUUCAAGACAAAGCUCUUUCUACUUGAGCAACAUGACCUUUUCUCCAAGCUAGACAUGACAAAAAUACCAGAAUUCUUUAAAAUACUUUCAGUUCACACAUCAUUUCACCAGAACACCACAAAAAUUUGGAUGGAUGAACUCCCCAACCUCACACCACAUUUCUUCUUCAGUCAAGAAAUUGCAAAACAAUUGGAAAAUGUAUCUGAAAUGGAGGAGACACCUGCCCAAAAACUAUUUUAAUCAGCCUGUUCCUGAAGGACUGCCUCCCAUGGAAAGUGACCAACACUGGAGCAGUUAAUGAAGAACUGCAGCCCAAAGGGAAUAACCCAUGCCCAAAACUUUUCACAGUGUUUUAAUUAACUGAAUGGGUAGGGGUGAGAUAAAGCACCUUGAUGAGUAUGUGCCCCUCAGCCAAGCUCAACUAAUCCCAUCAGGCAGAUUCAAGCACCAGUCUUCAAGCACCAGUCUUGUUCAAGCUUCCAGCAGAAACAAAUGGAAGAUCUGGAGAAGAUGUGACCAUGCAAAAUUCCCAAUUACAUAAAUGCUUUUCAGGAGGGAAUGUGGGGAAGCCAGUCAAGCCUGCAGACUGUAAGCUCAGACCUGUUAACCUUCACAGCUCCAGAAAUGAGAGUGCCUGCUGACAUGAAUGCUUCUGAGGAUGGAGCCGGAGGAAGGCUUUGCAAGAGGCUUCCCCUUAACUUUGAACUGACGCUGCUGAAGAUGGUGCCAGAGGUCCUUGUGCUGAAGAUAGAAAACCACCAGAGCAACUGAUUACAUGACAAACAAGAGGUCUGGCAUCACAAGACAGUCAGAAGAAGAAGCUGACAAGCUUCUGGUAAGACUGAGCAACAAAGGUUCUCAAAGUGAAAACAAGCCAGCAAAAGGAGGCAGAAAAAGCGUAAGGCUCCCACACCCUCCACGCCUGCUCCGGUCGGUCCCGCCCCGGCUCCCAGCGCUCAGCACCAUGGCCAGCGCCACGGCUGAUAGAGAGAGUGGCGUCACCCCAAACCGAAAGCUGGCCUCAAACAGAAACCACUUCUCUCUGCCCUCUCUCCUCCUAGCUGGUAGGUCAGACACGCUACUUAUGGCUGCCCUGAUGCUGUUUCAAAGCUGCUGUUGUUAUUCAAUGACACUGCAGAGCACUGAAUGAAAAAAAGAAAUGUUCAGGGUAAAUGUUGUUUGCAGAAAGGAAACAGCUGUAACUUUUACAAUUUCAUUGUAAUGAAGGGAAAAGGACAAGCAUCAGUAAAUGACCUAUGUGUUGUGGUGCUGUCAUGAUGUGAUUUGGACUUUGGAUAGGAAGUUUGGUUGUUGAUAUAAGUGAAGUUUGUGAAGACUCUAUGUGAGAAAUGAACAACUUCAAUGAAAGUUACGAUUUAUUCUAUAUGUUAUUAAUAGUAACAAUAAUGGUUUACAAAUAGUAAUAAUAAUGGUUUACAAAAUGAUGCUGCAGACAAUGCUACCUGGAUUGUACAGAGCUGCAAUUAUUCACUAUCUCUGUUUCUGCAGUUUAUGUUCAAAUGUCAUUAUGGUCCAAACGUAAUGCCCUUGGGAAAAGCGUCUGGGGAGUUCAGAACACAACUGUUACAGACAUGCUACAUAAAUGUACAUACAGUGUUACAUAAUCACACAGUGCUGUAGAAAUAAGGGUGACUAAUUUCACACUUUGCUUCAAAUACAAUUUGCUGACAUGUCUUUUUAUGCAGGGGAGCCUCACUUCUAAAAAUGAUGAAACUGAUUUUGCCUAACUUGAGUUAGGAAAGCUUUAUCAACAUAUCUUACUCACUCUCCUUUUAAUAUAAGAAACACGUAGGCAAACUCAGCAGUUGAAUUUGAUUCCGUAUCGAAAUUUGGUGGAAUUAUAGGGUUUCUGAAUGACAGGUAUGUAAAUGUUGCUCUGUUUCAUAUCACACAUUUUCUGGACCUCUACUGCUACUAACCCUCCACCCCUCCUCCACGCAGCUUUCUGCCAGUUACUGACAGAAAACAUAUCUGCAGAUACUCUGACUUUUUAAUUUUCCUGCCUAUUUAAAGAUCUUGCAUUUGAGUUUAUAAAUCAUUGAAAUUACUUUUCUCCUUUGGAAAAAAAAAAAGCAUAGAUGGAAACAGUUAAAUUUCAUGUCAGCAGAAUCACAAGUCAUGCUGAAAAGCUCCAGAUGACAUGUAUUUAAAAGACAUCCUUGCAAAACUCUUUAGAAAUUAAAAACAACUGACUUCUGGAAUAAGACGUGCUCUAGGUUACUUGAAAGUAUCUUUAUCCAACGCAGAGGCCUGGGAUCUACAAACUUCCCUGUUUGAUCCUAUGACUACCUUUGCAACUUCAGUGGCACCGUGAUCUGCAGGAAUUGUGCACAAGUCACCCGAGCUGCAUCUGCCCCCAGUAAAAUGCAAAUACUUGUACUGCAAUAUACUGUUGGGAAAGGCAGGCCUAAUUCACCUCAUUUCAUCAAUCCUUACAGUGCCUUACAGACUAAGAUUAAGUGCAUAACAAUAGGCAAUUGUUGUCAUGUAUACUGCAAAGUUUCAUUUUACUCAAUGAAUCCAGGUGCUGAUGUUGGACAUUUUGUUUCUUCUGUGAACUCAGAGAAAGUGUGGCAGAUUUCUACACAUCUCCUCUGCAACGCAAGAGUGAACAGAAGGAAAAGUGAGCUCAUACUGUUUUAUCUGAACAUUCUCUACUGAACUGUUUUAUGUGACCAUGACCUAUUACAGCUUUUAAAAACAUGUUUGAUUUUAACUGUAAGAGGUAUAUGACUGACUUCAGCUUUCAAGCUCUUUUCAGUCUUCACAAGUUGAGUCUUCAAUUAAGACUGAAGAAUUAUUAUUGUUGGUCAAGCACUAUUAGAAGGAGUAGGAAAAAAAUUCUCUUUUAUAAAAAUCAGAGAUUUAAUCCAGGACUUCACAAAAUACAAAAAGAUCUUUUAUCUGUGCUAUUCACAGCAUUGUUCUUCAGAGCAGAGCCACAUCUUUUUGUUCUCUUUUCUCACAAAUUUCUAUUUUUAUACUAUAAUCCUAUCUGCAAAGCCUUUCACUCUAAAAUGUAAGCUUAUUUUAUCAUUUAAAUCCCCCAAAUCUCCAUAAUUUGACAGAAUCACAAAAUAGUUAGGGUUGGAAAGGAUCUCUGGAGAUCAUCUUGUCCAAUCCCUACCAAGAUAUAGUCACCGGGAGCAGGUGACACAGGAAUGGCCCCAGGGGGGUUUUGAAUGUCUUCAGAAGGGGAGACUCCACACUCUACCUGGCCAGCUCUUCCAGUGCUCUUCCUUCCUCAAUGGGAAGAAGUUCUUCCUCAAGUUGAGAUGGAACUUCUUGUGUUUUAGUUUAUGGCCAUUGCUCCUUGUCCUGUCACUGAGCACCACUGAAGGGAGUCUGGCUUGAUCCUCCUGCCACCCACCUUGGAACCAUUCAUUAGCAUUAGUGAGAUCCCCUCUCAGUCUUCUUCAGACUAAACAGACCCAGACCCCGCCUCUCUUCAUAAGAGAGAUGCCCCAGACCCCUCAUCAUCUCUGCAGCCUCCCCUGGACCCUCUUCAGUAGCUCCUUA